ACUGGGCGUAGAGGGUGCGUAGGAGGUUUAGUUAGUCCUGUCUUAAAAAUUUCGGCUUAACCGAAAAGAUGGACAGGAAACGGCUAAACUAGAGAGUGCGAGAGGCAUAUGGAACUCAUGGUGUAGGGGUGAAAUCCGUUGAUAUCAUGGGGAACACCAAAGGCGAAGGCAAUAUGCUGGCGCAUUUCUGACUCUGAGGCACGAAAGCGUGGGGAUAGAAAAGGAUUAGAUACCCUUGUAUUCCACGCCCUAAACGAUGUUCUCUAGCUUUUGAUAGUAUCGACCCUAUCAGAGGCGAAGCUAACGCGUUAAGAGAACCGCCUGGGAAGUACGGCCGCAAGGCUAAAACUCAAAGGAAUAGACGGGGACUUGCACAAGCAGUGGAUCAUGUGGUUUAAUUCGAUGAUAAACGAAGAACCUCACCGGGGUUUGAAACCCAAGCGAAUCUCAGUGGAAACAUUGAGAGUCUCACAAGGACGGUUGGGCAGGUGAUGCAUGGCUGUCGUCAGUUCGUGAUUUGAAUUGUUCCCUUAAGUGGGGCAACGAACGCAACCCUCGUGUUGUGUUACAAGUGUCACAACAGACUGCCAUUUUGGAGGAAGGAGAGGAUGACGCCAAGUCAGCAUGUCCCUCUGAUAUCCCGGGCUACACACAUGAUACAAUGGCCGAUACAAUGGGUCGCAAUGCCGAGAGGCGGAGCCAAUCUCAUCAAAGUCGGUCUAAGUUCGGAUUGAGGUCUGCAACUCGACCUCAUGAAGUUGGAAUUGCUAGUAAUCGCAGGUCAGCUAUACUGCGGUGAAUACGUUCUCAAGUCUUGUACUCACCGCCCGUCAAGCCAAGGGAGCCGAGAAUACCCGAAAGUCCGUUUUGCGGACCUACGGUAAGUUCGGUAACAGGGGCUAAGUCGUAACAAGGCACGGGUAGCGGAAGCUGCUCGUGGAAC
rnacentral:rRNA from 1 species